rnacentral:rRNA from 1 species
AUUCCGGUUGAUCCUGCCGGAGGACAUUGCUAUUGGGAUUCGAUUUAGCCAUGCUAGUCGAGCGAGUUCAGACUCGCGGCGAAUAGCUCAGUAACACGUGGCCAAGCUCCCCUUCAGUCAGCGAUACCCUCGGGAAACUGAGGUUAACAGCUGAUACAAAACGCCAGCUGGAAUGCGGCGUUUCAGAAAGACACCGCUGAAGGAUGCGGCUGCGGCCGAUUAGGUAGACGGUGGGGUAACGGCCCACCGUGCCAGUAAUCGGUACGGGUGAUGAGAGUCAGAGCCCGGAGACGGAAUCUGAGACAAGAUUCCGGGCCCUACGGGGCGCAGCAGGCGCGAAACCUUUACACUGCACGGAAGUGCGAUAGGGGAAUCCCAAGUGCGAGGGCAUAUUAGCCCUCGCUUUUCUCGACUGUAAGGUGGUCGACGAAUAAGAGCUGGGCAAGACCGGUGCCAGCCGCCGCGGUAAUACCGGCAGCUCAAGUGAUGUCCCAUAUUAUUGGGGCCUAAAGCGUCCGUAGCU